GAAUUAAAUCAAGAUCGAGGACCAACCCAGCAUAUAGUGAAUAAACUCUUCAAUAUAACAACUUUACCCUUUGCGAUGGGGAGUUAGAAGGGGUUUGGGAGGGAGGGACAGAUGGGAAGAAGGAUAGGGGAAGAUGAACAAUGUGGGAGAGCACGAGAGUGAGUGGAAGACAGAAAGGAAAGAGAAAACAAGAAGAAAAUAAAAGAAAAAAAAGGAGAGAAAAACAAAUAUUUGCAAAGAGUAGGAAAAAAAUUAAAGAUAAGAGGAGCAAAAAAAAAAGAGAAAAAAAUAAACUAAUAAUACUAAUUUUGGGAAUAAAAAAAUAAAAUGAAUAUGAAGGGCCUCUUUCAGGGUAUGUCUCUGCCGUCACAAUAGACAGUGUGGGUAGCAGUAUGCAGAUAGAAGUCAAUGAGUCUCAGCGAGCUAGUCGCAGACCCGUGAGAUUCAGGCAGAUUUCUGGCUGCAAGUCCCAAGUUGAGCUCCCUGUCCUCCUGCAGGGUUGAACUCUGCAGAGUUGUAUUGCAGGUUCCAGCUGCCCUUCCCCUGAAGAUAGUCCCUGUCCUGAUGGGAGGUGAAGAUGACUCCAACUUACCCAGUUCAGUGGUCUGGUGGUCCAGUGUCCUCUGCGUCUUUGUAGUGUGGAACCAGUUGACGGUACAUGGAAGAGGCCGGGCACGGGGGCGGCGGGGGGGGGAUCCAGUGGAUUGCUGACUUGCUAUGGCGUCCUGGUCUUUCUGUUUUCACAGUCUUCCUUUUUUUGUGGCGAGGGAGGAAUUAAUUUCCUAUUUUCAAUUGGACAGUGUUCUUAGCAGCCACCCCCAUGUUAUAACAUUUCUCGCAUGCUUAUCAAGAUAUUUUCCAUGUCCUAAAACACAGCUGUUUCAUUUUCUCCCUGAGGCUGCCCUCGUUAAGUCUUUCCUACCUUAGUAAGGCUGGCUUUCCCUUAGGCCUGCUGUCUCGAUCUUUCUCUGGGAUGUCUCCUUGAAGUCAUCUGGUUCUUGUAUAACUGCUGUCCUCACUGUCCUGGAUUCUUUUGUUUCCUCUGUCUUGCUGCACUCCCCUGUGUUACUGGAACACAUUUUGCUGGAGAAGGAGGCCAUACCGAUGUGGGGGUUUUUUU
rnacentral:lncRNA from 1 species